AGAGUUUGAUCAUGGCUCAGAGCGAACGCUGGCGGCAGGCUUAACACAUGCAAGUCGAGCGGGUGUAGCAAUACAUCAGCGGUAGACGGGUGAGUAACGCGUGGGAACGUACCUUUUGGUUCGGAACAACCCAGGGAAACUUGGGCUAAUACCGGAUAAGCCCUUACGGGGAAAGAUUUAUCGCCGAAAGAUCGGCCCGCGUCUGAUUAGCUAGUUGGUGAGGUAAUGGCUCACCAAGGCGACGAUCAGUAGCUGGUCUGAGAGGAUGAUCAGCCACAUUGGGACUGAGACACGGCCCAAACUCCUACGGGAGGCAGCAGUGGGGAAUAUUGGACAAUGGGGGCAACCCUGAUCCAGCCAUGCCGCGUGAGUGAUGAAGGCCCUAGGGUUGUAAAGCUCUUUUGUGCGGGAAGAUAAUGACGGUACCGCAAGAAUAAGCCCCGGCUAACUUCGUGCCAGCAGCCGCGGUAAUACGAAGGGGGCUAGCGUUGCUCGGAAUCACUGGGCGUAAAGGGUGCGUAGGCGGGUCUUUAAGUCAGGGGUGAAAUCCUGGAGCUCAACUCCAGAACUGCCUUUGAUACUGAAGAUCUUGAGUCCGGGAGAGGUGAGUGGAACUGCGAGUGUAGAGGUGAAAUUCGUAGAUAUUCGCAAGAACACCAGUGGCGAAGGCGGCUCACUGGCCCGGUACUGACGCUGAGGCACGAAAGCGUGGGGAGCAAACAGGAUUAGAUACCCUAGUAGUCC
rnacentral:rRNA from 1 species